GUGCUUAAUUCAGCAGCACAUAUAUUAAAAUUAAAAUAACACAAAGAAGAUUAUCAUGGCCCCUGUGCUUGGCUGUUGUGCAAAAUCUUGAAACAUCCCAUACUUUU